UACUAGCGAAUCCAGCUUCACGAAGUCGGGUUGCAGACUUCGAUCCGAACUGAGAGAGGCUUUUGGGAUUAGCAUCCUGUCACCAGGUAGCUGCCUUCUGUACCCCCCAUUGUAACACGUGUGUAGCCCCGGACGUAAGGGCCGUGCUGAUUUGACGUCAUCCCCACCUUCCUCACAUCUUACGACGGCAGUCUCUCUAGAGUCCUCAGCAUGACCUGUUAGUAACUAAAGAUAAGGGUUGCGCUCGUUAUGGCACUUAAGCCGACACCUCACGGCACGAGCUGACGACAACCAUGCAGCACCUUCACAUUUGCCUUACGGCUAUACUGUUUCCAAUAUAUUCAAAUGCAAUUUAAGCCCGGGUAAGGUUCCUCGCGUAUCAUCGAAUUAAACCACAUGUUCCUCCGCUUGUGCGGGCCCCCGUCAAUUCCUUUGAGUUUCACCGUUGCCGGCGUACUCCCCAGGUGGAAUACUUAAUGCUUUCGCUUGGCCGCUUACUGUAUAUCGCAAACAGCGAGUAUUCAUCGUUUACUGUGUGGACUACCAGGGUAUCUAAUCCUGUUUGAUACCCACACUUUCGAGCAUCAGUGUCAGUUGCAGUCCAGUGAGCUGCCUUCGCAAUCGGAGUUCUUCGUGAUAUCUAAGCAUUUCACCGCUACACCACGAAUUCCGCCCACCUCUACUGUACUCAAGACAGCCAGUAUCAACUGCAAUUUUACGGUUGAGCCGCAAACUUUCACAACUGACUUAACUGUCCACCUACGCUCCCUUUAAACCCAAUAAAUCCGGAUAACGCUCGGAUCCUCCGUAUUACCGCGGCUGCUGGCACGGAGUUAGCCGAUCCUUAUUCAUAUGGUACAUACAAAAUUCCACACGUGGAAAACUUUAUUCCCAUAUAAAAGAAGUUUACAACCCAUAGGGCAGUCAUCCUUCACGCUACUUGGCUGGUUCAGGCCUGCGCCCAUUGACCAAUAUUCCUCACUGCUGCCUCCCGUAGGAGUUUGGACCGUGUCUCAGUUCCAAUGUGGGGGACCUUCCUCUCAGAACCCCUAUCCAUCGAAGGUUUGGUGAGCCGUUACCUCACCAACUGCCUAAUGGAACGCAUCCCCAUCGAUAACCGAAAUUCUUUAAUAACAAGACCAUGCGGUCUAAUUAUACCAUCGGGUAUUAAUCUUUCUUUCG
rnacentral:rRNA from 1 species